CACAAACGAAAGAUAAGAAGAGGAAGUGUUCCAAUAUCCCUCUGCAGCACUUGUAACAAAUGAAGUCCAUGCCAUGACCAAUUGACUGUUCUGAGGACAGUGGCUUGUAGUAGGCCUCUACUCUGAGAUCAGGGGUCCCUUCCAGAAAACAGGCUUUGAGUCUAAGCCCACGUUUAUACGUAGCAGGGUAUUUAUAGAAACAAAUAUUUCCCCCUCUCCGUUUUCAAAAAUAACAUUGUGCACACAACAUUGUUUUCAAAAAAGUUCUCAUUUACAUCAAAACGCAUAAAUAUGCAGUCGAGCACCAUUGUAACUAUGCCAAACCUAUGGGAGGAAAGUGUAGGGAGAACUAAGGAUAAAGCCAUGCAAGCCAAUUAGAAUCCUCUGAAUCAACAACAACGAAUAACACGAGCGACUUCCUGUUCCUUUCAAAACAACAUAGUUUAAUUCAUUUUUCACAAUUUACCAGCUAUAAUUUGAAAUUCGUCCCAGCUAGGGGACUAGGGUCUAUAUCUAUAGCAUAUAACCGCGUUUUCUGAUUACAGUUUAAUGUAACGGUAAGCUGACAACAUCGGUAAUUAUCACCGCAACUGCAAAUUAAUCACACAGAGAUAACGGGGCCUAACCCUGAACUCUGAGUUGAUUAACCCCAAGUUAGGAAACUCGAGUUUUCGGCUGCAGAACAGCUGAUCUGAGUUAGUUCAAUCAACUAGUUAGGUUAGAUUCACAGAGUCAGGCCCCGUUUACACGAAGGGAAAACACAGAUAUUUCAACUCGUUAAGUAAACGCAGGUUUAAGCCAUUCCCUCCGCUGAGAAUAUCAUUAAUAUACUCUAUGAAUGAUUAAGCCAAAGGGUUUUGUCGGUUUCUAAAAACUCUUGCCUUCCUAAGAGACCUGUGGCAUUAACAACUGUGAUGCAGUUGUAUCAAGUAUCAGUACCACACUGCCACCACCAUCAUCAUGUUGGAUAGCCUGUCAUGUCUCGGGUUCUUUCCAAUUCUCGUAAUUGGGAAGAAUUGCAAGGGAAGAAUUGUUGCCGAAGUUAAGUACAGCCUGGACUUUAAGCUGCCCGAGGACUUGGAGGACAAGUUAAAAAAAGUUUUUGAAAAUAUUUUGAGAGGUUAGUAUUACUUAAAAAGAAAAGAUGGAGGCUACAAUUCCACAAGGGUCUCAUUAGUGCAUGUUGACGAGCAGUGCAGUGUUGUAAAAGCUUAAUUAUUUUUUAAUUCUAAAAACUCAACUGUUAAAGUAAAGCAUUUUAGUUGGUUAUUUCUCUUCUACUUGUUGCAAAAAGGAGAAUUUUCUCUGAGGGUAAUAUUUGCCGAAAUUCUGUUGGUCUCAGUUUAUUGUGGAAGAGCCAACAGAGAGGCCCCCUCCACCUCCUCCGGGCAGGAAGAGGAGGCGCCCCCGGCCCCCUCCACCUCCUCCGGGCAGGAAGAGGAGACGCCCCAGGCCCCCUCCACCUCCUCCGGGCAGGAAGAGGAGACGCCCCAGGCCCCCUCCAACUCCUCCGGGCAGGAAGAGAAGGUGCCCCAGGCCCCCUCCAACUCCUCCGGGCAGGAAGAGAAGGUGCCCCAGGCCCCCUCCACCUCCGGGCAGGAAGAGAAGGUGCCCCAGGCCCCCUCACCUCCUCCGGGCAGGAAGAGAAGGUGCCCCAGGCCCCCCAGGCAGGACAUGGAGACUAUGAGCUGUGAGGAGUGUGAUGAUAAGGGGAAGCGAGGAAUCUUCCCCUACUCACGCAUUAUGAAAAAGAGAGGAAGGAAAGUCCUUAUGGAAUGGCAACCAUGUGGGACAUGUAAAAGAACAUGGGAGCCGACGUGGGAGCCAAAGUCAGCCAUUGCAGUUAAAAAAAGAAAUGGAGUCUGAGGAAGAGACGGGGUGCAAGAGAACAGGGACACAGUGAAAGAGAACAGGGAGACGAGGUGCAAGGGGCCAGGGGGACAGGGAGAAAGAGGACAGGGGAACAGGGAGAAAGAGGACAGGGGGACAGGGUGCAAGGGGACAGGGUGCCUUGUUAUGUAAAGGUAAUCUUUGUAAAUACAAUUGUUUCAAAAAUAUUUGGUGUAUCAUGUUUAAAGUGAAAUACUUUCAUUGCAUCACAAUAUGCCAGAUGGGAUACCGAAAGCAAUCCUAAAGGAAUCCCAUUUUGCUGCAGUUCAAUGUUGCCGCUGUAUACAGCAUUAUGUAAAAAGGUCAAUGUAUUUCUCAAACCUCGCUAAGAUCUGGCUACUUGCUUUCAGGUCAUCUGGUAAACUCAUCACUUAUUGUAAUGUAAUAUACCAUGGAAUGAUAUUUUUGUACCUAUACACAGGAUUGAUUUAACCAUUGUGCCAUAAUCCAAGAUGAGCUUUCACAGAGGCAUAAUUCAGAAAUUAGAAUGAUAAUGAAUCCCUGAAAAUGAAUAACAUCUGUCAUAAAUAAACAGCGGGGGGAGGGGGAAACACGUUUGUUUAUAAGGGGGGGGGGGGGGAUAUUUCCAACACUUCCAAACCGGAAGUGUUCCAAUACCCGUACUUCCAUGAGGAUACUUAAAGGAAGUAUACUAUACUGUACUAUCUGAGUACGGAUAGGUACUCAGAUAGUACAGUGCCGUGUUCCAAUACCCGUACUGUCCGCACUUACUAGCCAAAAUUUGAGUACACAGUACGUUACAAUUCAGAUCCGGCGAAAAGAAGUAUACUUCAAGGACCGGGAUGCCGUACUCAAAACGGGCUAAUCGUGAAGUGUGGAUCGAAGGACACUCCCCGUACUCAACGGCAGCCAUCUUAGCUACGUAGCGGAAGUGGCGGAGCCAGGCUGAGCCAAAGUCGGCGCAUUUUCCACAUAGCCUGCAUUAAUAAAGUAAUUUUGUAGUUUUUAUAGUUUUUAUAGCUUCUUAUAGCUGCUAGGCGUAAAGAGUUCACCGUUCAAAGCGGGAUGUUUAUUGCGGGGGAGGAGCCACGGCGGCAGUCAUGAUCGUCAUUUCCGAUCCGGCGAAAAGAAGUAUACUUCAAGGACCCGGAUGCCGUACUCAAAACGGGCUAAUCGUGAAGUGUGGAUCGAAGGACACUCCCCGUACUCAACGGCAGCCAUCUUAGCUACGUAGCGGAAGAGGCGGAGCCAGGCUGAGCCAAAGUCGGCGCAGUCGUGAUCGUCAUUUCCGGUGUCUGUUGUCUGGGAGCUAAUUGGUAUUGACCUGACCGGACCUCUCCCAAAAACUGUGGAUGGCUUCCAGUACAUUUUAACAGCCACAGAUUACUUUUCAAAAUGGGUUGAGGCUUUCCCAUUAAAGAAAAAAACUGCAGCUGAAGUGGGGCGCCACAUCUGCUCAAUUAUUUAUACACAUUUUUGUCCCAAAAUAAUCGUAUCUGACCAGGGAAGAGAGUUUGUUAGUGAAGUGUGUGCGUUUUAAUAAUGCUAUUGUAGUAAAUACAAUUCAGGAAUUAUUCCUUUCUGCUUGGAAUGUAUUUUUUUUUUGACAUGAACUGAUUUUAUUUCAGCUCAACACCAGACUUUGCAGUAUUUUGGCUAUUCAAAGUAGUGUGACAGCUGCCUAUCAUCCCAAAACCAAUGGUCUGGAUGAGAACACAUUGUUAAACAUAACUAUUUAUUAUUAUACUAUUUUAUUUGAGUCGACAUUUGUUCAGUGUUCAGGAGUUAUUUAUUUAGUUUAAUUGAUUUUUUUUUUUUUUUUGGUGUUUGUUUUUUUACAUUAUGUACAUUGCACAUACUGUACCGCUAAAACCUUCAAUAUACGUUAUAAAACAGCAUCAACAGUGUACAGGGUGAGUAGUGGUGUAAAAUAACGUGAUUCUGCAGUGGGAGCAUUAUUUGAUAGAGGCGAUUGGUCUAUCCACAUACGGUACUCCUGAAAUCUUCAAUAAAGACGUUAUAAACAAGCAUCAAAAUAUGCUCCCAAUAUUCUUACAGUGUACAUAGUGUGAGUUGUGGUUUAAAAUAAUGUGAUUAUGCAGUGGGAGCAUUAUUUGAUAGAGGCGGUUUGUCUAUCCACAUAGGCUAAUUUACCCCUGCUAUCUUAAAUAAAGACGUUAUAAACAAGCAUCAAAAUAUGCUCCCCAUAUUCUUACAAUGGGUGAGUUGUGGUUUAAAAUAAUGUGAUUCUGCAGUGGGAGCAUUAUUUGAUAGAGGCAAUUGGUCUAUCCACAUAGGCUACUUUACCCCUUCUAUCUUAAAUAAAGACGUUAUAAGCAAGCAUCAAAAUAUGCUCCCCAUAUUCUUACAGUGUACAUAGGGUGAGUUGUGUUUUAAAAUAAUGUGAUUCUGCAGUGGGAGCAUUAUUUGACAGGCGAUUGGUCUAUCCAC
ensembl:lncRNA